AAAUGCUUCUCCCAGGCAGCUAGCAUGGUGAUAGCUAGAGGACACAUUGGUCAAACAAACAAGCCAUGUGCAAGAGACAGUCUUCCUAACAUCAGUAGCCAUAACAUUAGGAAGGGGACGUUUGAGCUGAAAAACUUCUCCCAGCCUGCUCAGGGUUGCAACUACUUGCUAAAAGCUAUUUGACACCUUACCAGUAGGUGUCAAUUUAUCUUUAGUUCAUCCUAUCUGUAAAUAGUUUGAGAGACCAACAUCCCCUGUCUCUUGGGAAAGAAUGGUUUCUUCCAGAUUUCUAGAGAAGAGGAAGAGGAUUUUGACUUCCUGGUUGUCUUGGUAGCUACAGGGUCGGUUACAGACAGCCGUUGGGAGAGAGUAAGUAUUAGCCAGCUUGUGUUAUAGGAGUGGGUCAGCACCCACUUAGUGUCAGUCAGGGUAGCUGAGCAGUCCAAAGCUCCAACAGGAGAUCAGUGGGUUAGUUCCCUGGUUGUGCCUCAGUGAUAAGGAGGGUGUUACUAAUAGAGAGGAUUCCCAUUCUACAGGCAGUGUCCAUCAGCAGACCUGGCUGGCAACAGAUUGAGCAAAAGCAGGAAGUCCAGAUUGAUGAAGGCUAUCUUUGGAGGAGACACUGCAGAUGGAAAGACAGAGGAAGAUCAAAGCAAUGCUGAAGAGUAAAAUGAAGAAGAAUUAAAAAAAGGGGGAUACAGAAAAAAGAAGGGUAGGGGAUCAACAAGACGCAGAGUUGACACUAGAUGGUACACAAAAUUUUAACCUACAGCUCAGCUUUGAUGACGAGUUGGUGUCUACUCCUCCGGUGCGAUCCCCUAGGCCAGGGCCAUCCCCCCUCGUUUGCAACACAACUGCGGAGACUGAUGUAGGAAGUGUGGACGUGGUUGGAGAGCUAAAGAAAACAACCAGGCUGCUCUGUCAACAGCAAAGAAUAAACAAAGUCCAUAAUAAAAAAAUGUUCAAGACAA